GCCUGGGUGGCUCAGUGUUUGAGUGUCUGCCUUUGGCUCAGGAUGUGAUCCUGGGGUCGUGGGAUUGAGUCCUGCUUUAGGCU
rnacentral:tRNA from 1 species